AAUGACUCGGCUGUUUACUGUCAAACUGACCCUGGAGGGAAAGUCUUCGGAUCAGUGGUCAGAACUGGCCACAUCCGUUACCGAGAGGGAUACAGGAAAUAAACCUAUGAAAUGAAGAAGAACGUACAGUAGAUUGAACAGAGAUAUGGCAAGGAGAUCAACUCACUAAUGGCCUAUCCCGGAAGUAAGCGAGCAGGCAUCGCAUGACAGCCUGGUGGCAGAUGACCAGCACGUUGCCUUGUCUCUCCAGCUCCAUGAUGACCGGCUCUAACCUCUGCACUAGGUCCUGGUAGGACUAUGGAGAGGGGAGGGACAAACUGAGCUCAAUGACUCAGAUUAAUAGGCCAGAUAGAUCUCUGUAGAGAAGAAAGGAAGAAUUACCUCUCCCCCUGGGUAGCGGUAGUGGUACUUGUCCUGGUCUCUCAAGGAAAACUCCUCAGGGUCCAAAAACACAGAGGGGAGGAGGAGCACUCACUUCCUGAUUUCCAUGGCCUCCUCGUUGUCAUGUCUGAAGAAGUCAUAGGAUUUGUAGGCUUUUACAGCCUCUCGUCUGUAGACUCCAAGGUUGAACACUGCAACACAAUACAGGACCAUCAUCAUAAGCCUCAG